GAAGCUGGUUCAGUAAGAACCCUAUUCAUCUUCAUCUUCAUCAUCAAUAACAACCCUCUUCAAUGUUGCCGUUUUUUGUGUGAGAUAUAAUUGGGAGAAGAUGGAGACGUGGAAGGUUACCGGAAGAAGAAGAGAUUCAUCUUCUUUAUCCGUGUCACGCCCCGGGGUCCUUUUUAGUUUAAAUGCAUAGCGGAAGCGUCCUUCUUUUUUUUUUGAAAACCUGACCCCCAUGGUAUGCCAGAUCCGCCACAAAUAUAGGGAGUCUACUGUUCACACGGACAGAGUCUCCCCUGUAUUUGCACGGCGUCGCACAAGUACACGACAUAUAACCAGGAUACAACCACUACAAAUGAAUAUACAACAUUCAAUCAUUUAUACAUUCAUACACCAUUCACAACAGAUUUACAUUUAGAGUUUAAUCAUAAAUCCACGAAAACCUUUUUAAAUCUAUUUCCCACACGGAAACCUUUUUCUUUAAACGCUACCACGAGGGGUAGAAAACCAUUUCCAAUUCUUUACAUGAAAACC
rnacentral:lncRNA from 1 species